AGGGGAGCAUUUCCUGAGGACAGA
rnacentral:miRNA from 10 species